GGCUGGUCAGCUCAGUUGGUUAGAACAUGGUGCUGAUAACACCAAGGUCACGGGUUCAAUUCCUGUACCAGCCA